AGGAGAGACAAACUUAUCACACAAGUCAGAGUUAUACUUAAACUAAAUCUUUAACAAUGAGAGCUUUGCAAUAGCAUUUGACUUUCAAUGAUGCACCAUUUCUAAUGAACCAUUGAAAAGUGACAACACAAAAGUAGAUCCUUUAUAGCCGACAUACACCCCUCUCAGCCGAAAUGACGAACAACAGAUACAUAGAAUGGGUCACAAGGUUAAGAUUUGUAUGAAAGGUAUCUAUAAUACAUAGAAUGGGUCACCAGGUUAAGAUUUGUAUGAAAGGUAUCUAUAAUACAUAGAAUGGGUCACAAGGUUAAGAUUUGUAUGAAAGGUAUCUAUAAUACAUAGAAUGGGUCACCAGGUUAAGAUUUGUAUGAAAGGUAUCUAUAAUACAUAGAAUGGGUCACAAGGUUAAGAUUUGUAUGAAAGGUAUCUAUAAUACAUAGAAUGGGUCACAAGGUUAAGAUUUGUAUGAAAGGUAUCUAUAAUACAUAGAAUGGGUCACCAGGUUAAGAUUUGUAUGAAAGGUAUCUAUAAUACAUAGAAUGGGUCACAAGGUUAAGAUUUGUAUGAAAGGUAUCUAUAAUACAUAGAAUGGGUCACAAGGUUAAGAUUUGUAUGAAAGGUAUCUAUAAUACAUAGAAUGGGUCACAAGGUUAAGAUUUGUAUGAAAGGUAUCUAUAAUACAUAGAAUGGGUCACAAGGUUAAGAUUUGUAUGAAAGGUAUCUAUAAUACAUAGAAUGGGUCACAAGGUUAAGAUUUGUAUGAAAGGUAUCUAUAAUACAUAGAAUGGGUCACAAGGUUAAGAUUUGUAUGAAAGGUAUUUAUAAUACAUAGAAUGGGUCACAAGGUUAAGAUUUGUAUGAAAGGUAUCUAUAAUACAUAGAAUGGGUCACAAGGUUAAGAUUUGUAUGAAAGGUAUCUAUAAUACAUAGAAUGGGUCACCAGGUUAAGAUUUGUAUGAAAGGUAUCUAUAAUACAUAGAAUGGGUCACAAGGUUAAGAUUUGUAUGAAAGGUAUCUAUAAUACAUAGAAUGGGUCACCAGGUUAAGAUUUGUAUGAAAGGUAUCUAUAAUACAUAGAAUGGGUCACAAGGUUAAGAUUUGUAUGAAAGGUAUCUAUAAUACAUAGAAUGGGUCACAAGGUUAAGAUUUGUAUGAAAGGUAUCUAUAAUACAUAGAAUGGGUCACCAGGUUAAGAUUUGUAUGAAAGGUAUCUAUAAUACAUAGAAUGGGUCACCAGGUUAAGAUUUGUAUGAAAGGUAUCUAUAAUACAUAGAAUGGGUCACAAGGUUAAGAUUUGUAUGAAAGGUAUCUAUAAUACAUAGAAUGGGUCACCAGGUUAAGAUUUGUAUGAAAGGUAUCUAUAAUACAUAGAAUGGGUCACAAGGUUAAGAUUUGUAUGAAAGGUAUCUAUAAUACAUAGAAUGGGUCACAA